AUUGAACGCUGGCGGCAGGCUUAACACAUGCGAGUCGAGCGGGGAAGGUUGCUUCGGUAACUGACCUAGCGGCGGACGGGUGAGUAAUGCUUAGGAAUCUGCCUAUUAGUGGGGGACAACAUUCCGAAAGGGAUGCUAAUACCGCAUACGUCCUACGGGAGAAAGCAGGGGAUCAUUUGACCUUGCGCUAAUAGAUGAGCCUAAGUCGGAUUAGCUAGUUGGUAGGGUAAAGGCCUACCAAGGCGACGAUCUGUAGCGGGUCUGAGAGGAUGAUCCGCCACACUGGGACUGAGACACGGCCCAGACUCCUACGGGAGGCAGCAGUGGGGAAUAUUGGACAAUGGGGGGAACCCUGAUCUAGCCAUGCCGCGUGUGUGAAGAAGGCCUUUUGGUUGUAAAGCACUUUAAGCGAGGAGGAGGCUCUCUUGGUUAAUACCCAAGAUGAGUGGACGUUACUCGCAGAAUAAGCACCGGCUAACUCUGUGCCAGCCGCCGCGGUAA
rnacentral:rRNA from 1 species